rnacentral:rRNA from 1 species
AUUGAACGCUGGCGGCAGGCCUAACACAUGCAAGUCGAGCGGAUGAAGGGAGCUUUCUCCUGGAUUCAGCGGCGGACGGGUGAGUAAUGCCUAGGAAUCUGCCUGGUAGUGGGGGAUAACGUCCGGAAACGGGCGCUAAUACCGCCUACGUCCUGAGGCUGCAAGUGGGGGAUCUUCGGACCUCACGUUAUCAGAUGAGCCUAGGUGGGAUUAGCUAGUUGGUGGGGUAAGGGGCUACCAAGGCGACGAUCGGUAACUGGUCUGAGAGGAUGAUCAGUCACACUGGAACUGAGACACGGUCCAGACUCCUACGGGAGGCAGCAGUGGGGAAUAUUGGACAGUGGGCGAAAGCCUGAUCCAGCCAUGCCGCGUGUGUGAAGAAGGUCUUCGGAUUGUAAAGCACUUUAAGUUGGGAGGAAGGGCAGUAAGUUAAUACCUUGCUGUAUUGACGUUACCAACAGAAUAAGCACCGGCUAACUUCGUG